GUCCACGCCGUAAACGAUGGGCACUAGGUCCUUGGGGGAGCGACCCUCUGAGGGCCGGCGCUAACGCAUUAAGUGCCCCGCCUGGGGAGUACGGCCGCAAGGCUGAAACUCAAAGGAAUUGACGGGGGCCCGCACAAGCGGUGGAGCAUGUGGUUUAAUUCGACGCAACGCGAAGAACCUUACCUGGGCUUGACAUGCAGGGGAAAGCUGGGGGAAACCUCGGCCCUCCUUCGGGACUCCUGCACAGGUGCUGCAUGGCUGUCGU
rnacentral:rRNA from 1 species